rnacentral:lncRNA from 1 species
GCAGAUGCGUAGUUAACUCCGGUGAGUAUUCGCCGACCACGCACGGCAUUAUACGCAGGAAUGUAACCAUUAAAUCCAAGUAGCUCAGCUUCAUCACAUCAUAAAUAAAUGUCAAAACCAUGUUAGAUUAGGACUAUUAACACUUUAAACAACUCUUAACUACUUAAUUAGUGUUAUAUAUAGAGAAGACAGAUUGUAAAAAAGACCCAUACCGAGCUCAUCAGCGGUGGUUUUUCCAUUGGAGAAACGGCCGGUGGGGCCGCCAAAAUCGAUGCCGUAAGGGAAGUAAUUGGCUCUUGCAAAAGAAACAAGACCGUUGUUGUUUCCAUUGUCAACCAAAGAGUCACCAAAAAUGAAGUAACAU